UCGGGAAUUUUGGGCAAUGGGCGAAAGCCUGACCCAGCAACGCCGCGUGAGGGAUGAAGUAUUUCGGUAUGUAAACCUCGAAAGAAUGGGAAGAAUAAAUGACGGUACCAUUUAUAAGCUCCGGCUAACUACGUGCCAGCAGCCGCGGUAAUACGUAGGGAGCAAGCGUUGUUCGGAUUUACUGGGCGUAAAGGGCGCGUAGGCGGCGCGGUAAGUCACUUGUGAAAUCUCUGAGCUUAACUCAGAACGGCCAAGUGAUACUGCUGGGCUAGAGUGCGGAAGAGGCCACUGGAAUUCUAGGUGUAGCGGUGAAAUGCGUAGAUAUCAAGAGGAACACCUGAGGCGAAGGCGGGUUGCUGGGCCGACACUGACGCUGAUGCGCGAAAGCCAGGGGAGCAAACG
rnacentral:rRNA from 1 species